UUACGCCAACUGCUGGCCCUGAAUCUGCUGUUUUUCUUAUGGUUUGCACUAGGAUGUGAGAGAAAAAAGAAUGCCUGCGUUUUCUUUGUGGUAUUCCACAUUGAAUUGAGGAGUACAUCU
ensembl:snoRNA